ACUGUCAUCCAAAGAUCAAGUCCAAAACGCAGACGUUGAAAAGGGCGAAACGAGUAUAUUAUAAGUCACUGUAGAAAGCAGUAUUCUUGGGAGGAACACGUGUGAAAUAAUUGGUAAUCAAAAUUUCCCAGAAUCCUACCAUCCAAUUGUCUAGAAGAGGAAAGAAUCAUCUCCUUACAGAUUCCCCAGUGUGUAAUAUCCAACCAUUGUCAGGGAAAGGGAAGCAUCAU